rnacentral:misc_RNA from 1 species
AAGUCGUAACAAGGUUUCCGUAGGUGAACCUGCGGAAGGAUCAUUAACAAAUUCCAAAACUCGUGUUUGACUAUGGUCAUGUCAGCGCUGCAGAGUGUCCCCACGUGGGCCAUUCGGGUACUGACGACAAGUGACUUAGUCUAUCCUAACACAAAAACAAUCACAUUCAAAUUGACAACCAAGAGUAACCAAUACUUAAAAUGUUUAAUCGAAACAACUUUUAACAAUGGAUCUCUCGGCUCUU